rfam:Schistosoma mansoni, Puerto Rico, WGS project CABG01000000 data, contig: 0041
AUCCAGCUGACGAGUCCCAAAUAGGACGAAGCGCGCAUCCUGCAU